GUGGAUAACAUGGCCCUCGUCAAGAAGACAUGCGGAGGAACAAGAUAGACUGACAAAAGGGGUUGCAGGAGGCUACCGUACUUUGAAGAAGGGACGAUCCCUUCGCUUGCUCCAAGGUUAUGUCGCGCCGCCUCCCCCCAACCCCCUUCUCCAGCCCAUGAAGCUGCGCACGAGGGGAUGGAGGAAACUAAGAGGCUUCAAUUAUUUCUUUGGGCUUUGGUCAACAGAAGGGAGUGGGGCCAUGGCAGGAGAGAAAGGACUACUCGGGGGCACACACCCCCCACACCCGGGCUCCCGGUCUACAUGGAUCUAUUCCCUAAUGCGUCCAAGUAACAUCCGAUAUCUCCCCCAGAAGAGGCGCUAAACCUUCCCUAGCCCACCGACUUUGAUAAACGCAAAGCAAGAGAAUCCGAC
rnacentral:lncRNA from 1 species